UACGUAGGGGGCAAGCGUUGUCCGGAUUUAUUGGGCGUAAAGAGCUCGUAGGCGGUUUGGUAAGUCGGCGGUGAAAUGUCUGGGCUCAACCCAGUCACGCCCGUCGAUACUGCCAUGACUUGAGUCCGGUAGGGGAGUGUGGAAUUCCUGGUGUAGCGGUGAAAUGCGCAGAUAUCAGGAGGAACACCGGUGGCGAAGGCGGCACUCUGGGCCGGCACUGACGCUGAGGAGCGAAAGCUAGGGGAGCGAACAGG
rnacentral:rRNA from 1 species